AGUAAUACAGUCUAGCCUGCUCAACAAGCUUCAAAAGUCCUGGAAAAUGCCUAUGGAACGACAUCUAGAUGUUAUAUGGGAACAGACAUUAUUGACAGGGAAAGCUGCUGCCGCUGGUCUAUUUGACACAUUUGGGAACUCUAUUUUCUUUUAUUCUUUCUCGCUCUGAGUAAAGACAACGCCUUCUUCCGUCUCCAUCGAAACUUGAAAAGAAAGUCACCUGGGCCAAMCCAGCUGGACAGGGGAGAAAGGAAUAGUCAAAUGGAAGUUGUAUAACAACGCUGAUUAGACUACAAAAAUAUUUUCAUAACUUAUCAUGUACGUCAGUAUUGAUUUAAAUGUUCGUUAUUGAAUAUAGCCUACUGUCUUGAGACUGAUAAAGGGUAAAAGCGUCUCAUAGUUCCGGGUUUGGGGAAAUUAUUCCCGAGUAUUGUAAUAACUUGGGMAACAUGGACAGCAUCGAGUUACAAUGCCCUGUAAGCCUUGACAACAACAAUCACCAUGCUGAAAAUACCUCUAAGCAACAGAUGACUUCAGGUAAUAGACCCAGGCUGACCACCAAUGAUACAGCAGAGGAAGGAAACCCCUUGCUUUCUCCUGAACAGGUUCCUGUCGAUAAUGGCGGCAGCAUCGGUUGAUGGAGAAGAGGUCAACCAAGAGUCGAUCUCGCUCAACGUACAGAACAGCAUCGCCAACCAAAGAAAUGACCUGCAUGGUGCACAGAAGACGGUGGAUGAUCCUCAUCUGCCUCAUCUUCCUCAUCCUGCUGGUGAUUGGAGUCUCCUUCGCUGUGUGUUUAGGUACAGCGUUUCUGUUUCCACUUCUAUUGUUAAUGCUCUGGUGUCCUUAACCAUAGUUCAUCCGUGUCUUUACCACAAUUGUAAAGGUGUGCGUAACUGGUGACAGUGAAGUCAGACGCAGGAGAGCAGAAACUAGGUAAUAGCCGGAGCAGUUUAAUUUCAAAACCAACGGCAUA